UACAGAGGGGUGCAAGCGUUGUUCGGAAUUAUUGGGCGUAAAGGGUGCGUAGGCGGUUCGGUAAGUCUGAUGUGAAAUCUAUGGGCUCAACUCAUAGUCUGCAUCGGAAACUGCCGGGCUUGAGUGUGGGAGAGGUGAGUGGAAUUCCUGGUGUAGCGGUGAAAUGCGUAGAUAUCAGGAGGAACACCUGUGGCGAAAGCGGCUCACUGGACCAUAACUGACGCUGAUGCACGAAAGCUAGGGGAGCAAACAGG
rnacentral:rRNA from 1 species